GACAAACGCUGGCAGCAUGCCUAACACAUGCAAGUCGAACGGACAGAACAGGGAAGCUUUUCGGAGUGGAACUGGAAAGUUAGUGGCGGAUGGGUGAGUAACGCGUGGACAACCUACCUUGUAAAGGGGAAUAACCUCGAGAAAUCGAAGCUAAUACCCCAUAAUAACCUUGCUUCGCAUGAAGUAAGGAGGAAAGGCGGCCUUAGCGCUGUCGAUACAAGAUGGGUCCGCGUCUGAUUAGCUAGUUGGUGAGGUAAAGGCUCACCAAGGCGACGAUCAGUAGCCGGCCUGAGAGGGUGAACGGCCACAUUGGGACUGAGACACGGCCCAAACUCCUACGGGAGGCAGCAGUGGGGAAUCUUCCGCAAUGGGCGAAAGCCUGACGGAGCAAUGCCGCGUGAGUGAAGAAGGCCUUCGGGUUGUAAAACUCUGUCCUUAUCGAAGAGAGAGUGUUGUAGUAACUGACAAUACUAGGACGGUAGAUGAGGAGGAAGCCCCGGCUAACUAUGUG
rnacentral:rRNA from 1 species